rnacentral:rRNA from 1 species
UCAGGGACGAAAGUCGGUCAUAGAUUUCCGAUAACACUAUAUGGAAGGGUUAUCGCAAGCAAAUAAAAGGUACGCUGGGGAUAACAGGCUGAUAACUCUUGAGAGAUCUUAUCGACGGAGUUGUUUGGCACCUCGAUGUCGAUUUUACAUAUCCUGGAGCUGAAGUAGGUUCCAAGGGUUCGGUUGUUCGCCGAUUAAAAUGUAACAUGAGUUGGGUUUAGAACGUCGUGAGACAG